rnacentral:rRNA from 1 species
AGGACGAACGCUGGCGGCGUGCUUAACACAUGCAAGUGGAGCGACGAACCAGGGCUUGCCCUGGGGCAGAGCCGCGAACGGGUGAGUAACACGUGGGUUACCUGCCUCGAUGACCGGGACAACCCGAGGAAACUCGGGCUAAUACCGGAUGUGCCCGCAAGGGGAAAGGAAGCUUCGGCCUCCGCAUCGAGAUGGGCCCGCGGCCCAUUAGCUUGUUGGUGAGGUAACGGCUCACCAAGGCUUCGAUGGGUAGCUGGUCUGAGAGGACGAUCAGCCACACUGGGACUGAGACACGGCCCAGACUCCUACGGGAGGCAGCAGUGGGGAAUCUUGCGCAAUGCGCGAAAGCGUGACGCAGCAACGCCGCGUGGGGGAAGAAGGCUUUCGGGUUGUAAACCCCUUUCAGUUGGGACGAAGCUUCAGCGGUGAAUAGCCGUUCGGAGUGACGGUACCUUCACAAGAAGCACCGGCUAACUACGUGCCAGCAGCCGAC